CAGAGGGGGCAAGCGUUAUUCGGAAUUAUUGGGCGUAAAGGGCGCGUAGGCGGCUUUGUAAGUGACGGGUGAAAUCCCUCGGCUUAACCGAGGAACUGCCUGUCAAACUGCAUGGCUUGAGACCAGGAGAGGUGAGUGGAAUUCCCAGUGUAGCGGUGAAAUGCGUAGAUAUUGGGAGGAACACCAGUGGCGAAGGCGGCUCACUGGACUGGUACUGACGCUGAGGCGCGAAAGCGUGGGGAGCAAACAGGAUUAGAUACCCUGGUAGUCCACGCCGUAAACGAUGAGUGCUUGGUGUAGCGGGUAUCGACCCCUGCUGUGCCGAAGUCAACACAUUAAGCACUCCGCCUGGGGAGUACGGUCGCAGGACUG
rnacentral:rRNA from 1 species